rnacentral:rRNA from 1 species
GUUUAUUGCCAUGACACCUUGAACAUGCCCAAGAUCGGACGAAGUCUCGGAAUGCUAAGCAGGGUCAGGCCUGGUUAGUACUUGGAUGGGAAACCACCCAGGAAUACCAGGUGCUGUAGGGA